rnacentral:rRNA from 1 species
AUACGAAGGGUGCAAGCGUUAAUCGGAAUUACUGGGCGUAAAGCGCGCGUAGGUGGUUUUGUAAGUUGGAGGUGAAAGCCCCGGGCUCAACCUGGGAAUUGCCUCCAAAACUGCAUGACUAGAGUACGGUAGAGGGUAGUGGAAUUUCCUGUGUAGCGGUGAAAUGCGUAGAUAUAGGAAGGAACACCAGUGGCGAAGGCGACUACCUGGACUGAAGGUGCCACUGAGCUGCGAAAGCGUGGGGAGCAACCAGGAUUAGGUACCCGGGGAGUCCACGCCGUAAACGAUGUCAACUAGCCGUUGGGAUCCUUGAGAUCUUAGUGGCGCAGCUAACGCAUUAAGUUGACCGCCUGGGGAGUACGGCCGCAAGGUUAAAACUCAAAUGAAUUGACGGGG